rnacentral:rRNA from 1 species
UACGUAGGGGGCAAGCGUUGUCCGGAUUUAUUGGGCGUAAAGAGCGUGUAGGCGGCCAGACAGGUCUGUUGUGAAAACUGGAGGCUCAACCUCCAGACGUCGAUGGAAACCGUCUGGCUAGAGUCCGGAAGAGGAGAGUGGAAUUCCUGGUGUAGCGGUGAAAUGCGCAGAUAUCAGGAAGAACACCCGUGGCGAAAGCGGCUCUCUGGGACGGUACUGACGCUGAGACGCGAAAGCGUGGGGAGCGAACAGG